rnacentral:rRNA from 1 species
GAUGAACGCUGGCGGCGUGCCUAAUACAUGCAAGUCGAGCGAACGGACGAGAAGCUUGCUUCUCUGAUGUUAGAGGCGGACGGGUGAGUAACACGUGGAUAACCUACCUAUAAGACUGGGAUAACUUCGGGAAACCGUAGCUAAUACCGGAUAAUAUUUUGAACCGCAUGGUUCAAAAGUGAAAGACGGUCUUGCUGUCACUUAUAGAUGGAUCCGCGCUGCAUUAGCUAGUUGGUAAGGUAACGGCUUACCAAGGCAACGAUGCAUAGCCGACCUGAGAGGGUGAGAGGCCACACUGGAACUGUGACACGGUCCAGACUCCUACGGGAGGCAGAAGUAGGGAAUAUUCCGCAAUGGGCGAAAGCCUGACGGAGCAACGCCGCGUGAGUGAUGAAGGUCUUCGGAUCGUAAAACUCUGUUAUUAGGGAAGAACAUAUGUGUAAGUAACUGUGCACAUCUUGACGGUACCUAAUCAGAAAGCCACGGCUAACUACGUG